rnacentral:RNase_P_RNA from 1 species
UGACAAACGCUAUAUUUUUAUAAUAUAGAGGAAAGUCCAUGCUCACACAAUCUGAGAUGAUUGUAGUGUUUGUGCUAAGGGAAAAAAUAACCUUAGGUAGCUUUGCUAACGGCGAUGAAAGUUCCUAAGUUACUGAUAUGGAAUGAGUAAUUAUAAAGUGCCACAGUGACGAUAUCUUUUUGAAAGAAAAGAGUGAAACGCGGUAAACCCCACAAGUGAGAAACCCAAAUUUUGGUAGGGGAGCUUUGACUAGAAAUUGAACGAUGUCAGGGAUCGAGAAAUCGAUAGAUAAAUGUUUGUCACCUAGUAAUAGGUACAGAACAUGGCUUAUAA